UACGUAGGUGGCAAGCGUUGUCCGGAUUUACUGGGCGUAAAGGGCUUGUAGGCGGUCCGUUAAGUCCGAUGUGAAAUCUCCCGGCUCAACUGGGAGAGGUCAUUGGAUACUGGCGGACUAGAGGGGGGUAGAGGAAAGCAGAAUUCCUGGUGUAGCGGUGAAAUGCGUAGAUAUCAGGAGGAAUACCAGUGGCGAAGGCGGCUUUCUGGGCCUACCCUGACGCUGAGGAGCGAAAGCGUGGGGAGCAAACCGG
rnacentral:rRNA from 1 species